UUCCCGUAGGUGAACAUGCGGAA
rnacentral:rRNA from 1 species